AAAAAAAAAAAGAGAAAUAAUACACAUAAGUUGUAGAGCUUUGCCUGACUAUCUCUUACCAUGAUCUUUUAGAGUACCUUACGUUUCCUCGAGUGAGGUUCUGACCAACACGAUUUGGACAAACUUAAACCCUUUGCAGUUGAAAUCAGCGUCUGAAAAAACUUAAUAGUUACAACUUUCAACAAACGGAUCUCUUGGUUCUGGCAUCGAUGAAGAACGCAGCGAAAUGCGAUAAGUAGUGUGAAUUGCAGAAUUCAGUGAAUCAUCGAAUCUUUGAACGCACAUUGCGCCCCUUGGUAUUCCAUGGGGCAUGCCUGUUCGAGCGUCAUUUGUACCUUCAAGCUCUGCUUGGUGUAUAGGGUGUUUGUCUCCUGUAGACUCGCCUUAAAACAAUUAGGCAGCCGGCGUAUUGAUUUCGGAGCGCAGUACAUCUCGCGCUAUUGCACUCAUAACGACAGACAUCCAAAAGUACAUUUAUUACACUCUUGAACUCGAGAUCAGGUAGGGAUACCCGCUGAACUUAAGCAUAUCAAUAAGCGAG
rnacentral:rRNA from 1 species